rnacentral:rRNA from 1 species
GACGAACGCUGGCGGCGUGCUUAACACAUGCAAGUGGAGCGACGAACCGGGCUUCGGCCCGGGGCAAAGCCGCGAACGGGUGAGUAUCACGUGGGUAACCUGCCCCGAUGACCGGGACAACCCGAGGAAACUCGGGCUAAUACCGGAUGUGCUCCUCGCACACCCGUGCGAGGAGGAAAGGAAGCUUCGGCCUCCGCAUCGGGAUGGGCCCGCGGCCCAUUAGCUUGUUGGUGAGGUAAAGGCUCACCAAGGCCACGAUGGGUAGCUGGUCUGAGAGGACGAUCAGCCACACUGGGACGGAGACACGGCCCAGACUCCUACGGGAGGCAGCAGUGGGGAAUCUUGCGCAAUGCGCGAAAGCGUGACGCAGCAACGCCGCGUGAGGGAAGAAGGCCUUCGGGUUGUAAACCUCUUUCAGGAGGGACGAAGGUUCAGGCGCGAAUAGCGUCCUGGACUAACGGUACCUCCAGAAGAAGCCCCGGCUAACUACGUGCCAGCCGCCGCGGUAACAC